rnacentral:rRNA from 1 species
GUGUCAGCCGCCGCGGUAAUACGAAGGGGGCAAGCGUUGUUCGGAAUGACUGGGCGUAAAGGGCGCGUAGGCGGUUCGUUGCGUCAGAUGUGAAAGCCCCGGGCUCAACCUGGGAACUGCAUUUGAUACGGGCGGGCUUGAAUCCAAGAGAGGGUGGUGGAAUUCCCAGUGUAGAGGUGAAAUUCGUAGAUAUUGGGAAGAACACCAGUGGCGAAGGCGGCCACCUGGCUUGGUAUUGACGCUGAGGCGCGAAAGCGUGGGGAGCAAACAGGAUUAGAAACCCUAGUAGUCC